rnacentral:rRNA from 1 species
GUGCCAGCAGCCGCGGUAAUACGGAGGAUCCAAGCGUUAUCCGGAUUCAUUGGGUUUAAAGGGUGCGUAGGCGGACUAAUAAGUCAGCGGUGAAAUCUCUCGGCUUAACUGAGAAACUGCCGUUGAUACUGUUGGUCUUGAGUGCAGAUGAUGUGGGCGGAAUAUGACAUGUAGUGGUGAAAUACUUAGAUAUGUCAUAGAACACCGAUUGCGAAGGCAGCUCACAAAACUGUUACUGACGCUGAGGCACGAAAGCGUGGGGAUCAAACAGGAUUAGAUACCCUGGUAGUCC